rnacentral:rRNA from 1 species
AUACGUAGGGGGCGAGCGUUGUCCGGAAUGAUUGGGCGUAAAGGGCGCGUAGGCGGCGCGGUAAGUCUGGAGUGAAAGUCCUGCUUUCAAGGUGGGAAUUGCUUUGGAUACUGCCGCGCUUGAGUGCAGGAGAGGUUAUCGGAAUUCCCGGCGUAGCGGUGAAAUGCGUAGAGAUCGGGAGGAACACCAGUGGCGAAGGCGGGUAACUGGACUGCAACUGACGCUGAGGCGCGAAAGUGUGGGGAGCAAACAGGAUUAGAUACCCUGGUAGUCCACGCCGUAAACGAUGAGUGCUAAGUGUUGGAGGGUUUCCGCCCUUCAGUGCUGCAGCUAACGCAUUAAGCACUCCGCCUGGGGAGUACGGCCGCAAGGCUGAAACUCAAAGGAAUUGACGGGG